AUGGACAUGGAGGCCAAGAUGGCAGAUGCUGAGACCCACGUGGAAGAACUGCAGACAGAGAAUGAAGCACAAGAGGGUUUGCUGACAGGCAGGGGAGCCAGGAUGACAGCUGCCGAAAGUCGUAUGGAGGAACUGCAGACAGAGAAUGAAGCUCAAAGUGUGGAGCUGGGUGUCACAAAGGUCAAGCUCUGUGGAAGCCUGGUUGACAGCCAGUGAGAGCCAAAUUGAUGGACUGGAGAGAGAGCAGGAAGGUCAGAGGUGGACUGGGGACAACACCAUGUGCAGUGACUACCCACUGGGCACAGAUAUCAAUUCAAUGUCUAUUAAACGUUGGUUCAACGUAAUUUAAUAGAAAUGACAUUGAGUGGCUGCUGCCAACAUACUGACUCAAAUCUCUAGCCACUUUAAUAAUAAAAAAUUGGUUGUAAUAAAUGUAUCACUAGCCACUUUACACUAUGUCACUUUAUAUAAUGUUUACAUA
rnacentral:lncRNA from 13 species